UACGGGGGGUGCGAGCGUUGUCCGGAAUCAUUGGGCGUAAAGAGUUCGUAGGUGGUUUGUUAAGUUUGGUGUUAAAGGCGCAGGCUUAACCUGUGUAUGGCAUCGGAUACUGGCAGACUGGAAUGCGGUAGAGGUAAAGGGAAUUUCUGGUGUAGCGGUGAAAUGCUUAGAUAUCAGGAAGAACAUCGGUGGCGUAAGCGCUUUACUGGGCCGUAAUUGACACUGAGGAACGAAAGCCGGGGUAGCAAAU
rnacentral:rRNA from 1 species